rnacentral:lncRNA from 1 species
GUUUAUCUCAGGGUAAGGAAUAAAUUAUCUAAUUAUCUUAAUCAAUUAUUUUCAUUAUAUUAAUUUUAUAAAGAUAUAAAAUAAUAAUAAUAAUAUAAUUGAUUUCUCUAAUGUUAUUAAACAUUAAUACAGGGUUAAUAUUUUUGUAUCAAGUUCUCUCCAGACAAAAGUCCUUCUGGAAUCAGAUUGCAUACUGAAUCUGGAUUUAUCUCAGAAGAGAGCCUUGAUCUACAUGUUAGUGUCUAAAGUGAUUUGAUGAUACCAUCAACUUAAAUGCAUCCUUUUCUCAAUAGGAAACAAAUCAAUACUGACUGCCUAGUUUUCUGGCAUAAAGUUCUACUUCAUUAAGCCUUUGAGUCAAAUUUUGCUUUAAAAUUUCUCCUUCCAGUUGCUUCAGUAAGUUUUGAAACAAGAUGCAAACAAAGCAUACCUCUAUGAUAUUUAGCAUUUAUUUGCAAAUAAUGAUCAUUUUGAAAUCUUGUGGCACAAGGACUUCUUUCAGUGGUCCUCCUAUCAGUAUCCUAUAAUGAAUGUUUCUGUACUCUUGAUACCACCAUUUUUAAUAUGUUUAAUUUCUUGCUAUAUUGCAGUGACUCACAAGGGAACAUCGCACCUGAUGUGUCUGGGAUUUUGGCAGUAUUUUGUCAUCUGGGGGAGCGUAGGGAGUGGAUGGGGAGUCGCCCCUAUAUUGGGGGCCGCUGCUCUGGCGUUUUCGAGAGGGUCGCUUUUGGAAUUUCGGAG